rnacentral:rRNA from 1 species
ACCGAACCGACUAAUGUUGAAAAAUUAGCGGAUGACUUGUGGCUGGGGGUGAAAGGCCAAUCAAACCGGGAGAUAGCUGGUUCUCCCCGAAAGCUAUUUAGGUAGCGCCUCGUGAAUUCAUCUCCGGGGGUAGAGCACUGUUUCGGCAAGGGGGUCAUCCCGACUUACCAACCCGAUGCAAACUGCGAAUACCGGAGAAUGUUAUCACGGGAGACACACGGCGGGUGCUAACGUCCGUCGUGAAGAGGGAAACAACCCAGACCGCCAGCUAAGGUCCCAAAGUCAUGGUUAAGUGGGAAACGAUGUGGGAAGGCCCAGACAGCCAGGAUGUUGGCUUAGAAGCAGCCAUCAUUUAAAGAAAGCGUAAUAGCUCACUGGUCGAGUCGGCCUGCGCGGAAGAUGUAACGGGGCUAAACCAUGCACCGAAGCUGCGGCAGCGACGCUUAUGCGUUGUUGGGUAGGGGAGCGUUCUGUAAGCCUGUGAAGGUGUGCUGUGAGGCAUGCUGGAGGUAUCAGAAGUGCGAAUGCUGACAUAAGUAACGAUAAAGCGGGUGAAAAGCCCGCUCGCCGGAAGACCAAGGGUUCCUGUCCAACGUUAAUCGGGGCAGGGUGAGUCGACCCCUAAGGCGAGGCCGAAAGGCGUAGUCGAUGGGAAACAGGUUAAUAUUCCUGUACUUGGUGUUACUGCGAAGGGGGGACGGAGAAGGCUAUGUUGGCCGGGCGACGGUUGUCCCGGUUUAAGCGUGUAGGCUGGUUUUCCAGGCAAAUCCGGAAAAUCAAGGCUGAGGCGUGAUGACGAGGCACUACGGUGCUGAAGCAACAAAUGCCCUGCUUCCAGGAAAAGCCUCUAAGCAUCAGGUAACAUCAAAUCGUACCCCAAACCGACACAGGUGGUCAGGUAGAGAAUACCAAGGCGCUUGAGAGAACUCGGGUGAAGGAACUAGGCAAAAUGGUGCCGUAACUUCGGGAGAAGGCACGCUGAUAUGUAGGUGAAGUCCCUCGCGGAUGGAGCUGAAAUCAGUCGAAGAUACCAGCUGGCUGCAACUGUUUAUUAAAAACACAGCACUGUGCAAACACGAAAGUGGACGUAUACGGUGUGACGCCUGCCCGGUGCCGGAAGGUUAAUUGAUGGGGUUAGCGCAAGCGAAGCUCUUGAUCGAAGCCCCGGUAAACGGCGGCCGUAACUAUAACGGUCCUAAGGUAGCGAAAUUCCUUGUCGGGUAAGUUCCGACCUGCACGAAUGGCGUAAUGAUGGCCAGGCUGUCUCCACCCGAGACUCAGUGAAAUUGAACUCGCUGUGAAGAUGCAGUGUACCCGCGGCAAGACGGAAAGACCCCGUGAACCUUUACUAUAGCUUGACACUGAACAUUGAGCCUUGAUGUGUAGGAUAGGUGGGAGGCUUUGAAGUGUGGACGCCAGUCUGCAUGGAGCCGACCUUGAAAUACCACCCUUUAAUGUUUGAUGUUCUAACGUUGACCCGUAAUCCGGGUUGCGGACAGUGUCUGGUGGGUAGUUUGACUGGGGCGGUCUCCUCCUAAAGAGUAACGGAGGAGCACGAAGGUUGGCUAAUCCUGGUCGGACAUCAGGAGGUUAGUGCAAUGGCAUAAGCCAGCUUGACUGCGAGCGUGACGGCGCGAGCAGGUGCGAAAGCAGGUCAUAGUGAUCCGGUGGUUCUGAAUGGAAGGGCCAUCGCUCAACGGAUAAAAGGUACUCCGGGGAUAACAGGCUGAUACCGCCCAAGAGUUCAUAUCGACGGCGGUGUUUGGCACCUCGAUGUCGGCUCAUCACAUCCUGGGGCUGAAGUAGGUCCCAAGGGUAUGGCUGUUCGCCAUUUAAAGUGGUACGCGAGCUGGGUUUAGAACGUCGUGAGACAGUUCGGUCCCUAUCUGCCGUGGGCGCUGGAGAACUGAGGGGGGCUGCUCCUAGUACGAGAGGACCGGAGUGGACGCAUCACUGGUGUUCGGGUUGUCAUGCCAAUGGCACUGCCCGGUAGCUAAAUGCGGAAGAGAUAAGUGCUGAAAGCAUCUAAGCACGAAACUUGCCCCGAGAUGAGUUCUCCCUGACUCCUUGAGAGUCCUGAAGGAACGUUGAAGACGACGACGUUGAUAGGCCGGGUGUGUAAGCGCAGCGAUGCGUUGAGCUAACCGGUACUAAUGAACCGUGAGGCUUAACCUUACAACGCCGAAGCUGUU